AAUCGAGGCCCCGUAAUUGGAAUGAGUACACUUUAAAUCCUUUAACGAGGAUCAAUUGGAGGGCAAGUCUGGUGCCAGCAGCCGCGGUAAUUCCAGCUCCAAUAGCGUAUAUUAAAGUUGUUGCGGUUAAAAAGCUCGUAGUUGGAUCUCAGGAUUUGGAUGGAUGGUUCGCUUUCGGGCGCUACUAUCUGUCUGACCUACUCUAGUCGUGGAUGCCUUGGGUGCUCUUAAUUGAGUGCUUUUGGUGCCCGACGCAAUUACUUUGAAAAAAUUAGAGUGCUCAAAGCAGGCGUAUUGCCUGAAUAGUGUUGCAUGGAAUAAUGAAAUAGGAGUUUACUUCUAUUUUGUUGGUUUUCGGAGGUGAACUAAUGAUUAACAGGGACAGACGGGGGCAUUUGUAUGGAGGGGUUAGAGGUGAAAUUCUUGGAUCCUCUCCAGACAAACUACUGCGAAAGCAUUUGCCAGGAAUGUUUUCACUAAUCAAGAACGAAAGUCAGAGGUUCGAAGACGAUCAGAUACCGUCCUAGUUCUGACCAUAAAUGAUGCCAUCUAACAAUCCACGAAGUUUGCUUGUACGAACUCGUGGGCGGUCCCCGGGAAACCAAAGAUUUUGGGUUCCGGGGGAAGUAUGGUUGCAAAGCUGAAACUUAAAGGAAUUGACGGAAGGGCACCACCAGGAGUGGAGCCUGCGGCUUAAUUUGACCCAACACGGGAAACCUCACCCGGCCCGGACACUUUUAGGAUUGACAGAUUGAAGGCUCUUUCUUGAUCAAGUGGUUGGUGGUGCAUGGCCGUUCUUAGUUGGUGGAGCGAUUUGUCUGGUUAAUUCCGAUAACGAACGAGACUCUACUCUGCUAAAUAGGACGUUGAUAUAUAAAAGUCAGUGCUGACUUCUUAGAGAGACUAACGGCGUUUAGCCGUGUGAGAAAGAGCAAUAACAGGUCUGUGAUGCCCUUAGAUGUCCGGGGCCGCACGCGCGCUACACUGACUGCAGCAACUAGUAUGCUCCUGGUUUGAAAAAACUGGGUAACCUGGUUGAAUUGCAGGCGUGACAGGGAUCAGAGUUUGCAAUUAUCCUCUGUGAACGAGGAAUUCCCAGUAAGCGCAAGUCAUUAGCUUGUGCUGAUUACGUCCCUGCCCUUUGUACACACCGCCCGUCGCUACUACCGAUUGAAUGGUUUAGUGAGGUCUUCGGAUUGGUGCUGAUGGAGUGGUUCUCUGCUCUGUUAGUGCCGAGAAGAUGAUCAAACUUGAUCAUUUAGAGGAAGUAAAAGUCGUAACAAGGU
rnacentral:rRNA from 1 species